rnacentral:lncRNA from 1 species
UUUCAUUUUGAAGACUCUCUUUUUAAAAAUUAAUUUCAUUUUGCAUAUUUACCUAUUUGUGAUUACAGGUGGACCAAAACUCCGUAAUAUGGACACUAAUUUUGUUCAAUUGUGUCAAAUAUACUAUGGUAUUUUGAACACCUAAACUCUAAGGGUACGUCGUCGGAGUAGCAUAUGUCGAGAGUGCAGCAAAAGAAAAUUCAAAUAUAUUCCGGUAUUUUAAUUAUCAUUACUAAUUUGUUCAAUUUUUUUUUAAUUGAAAUCAAUUGUGUUUGAAUUUGUUCAUUCAUGUCCUCUUGAAGAUAUGUGAAAGGCAACUCAAAAUGUUGAAGGCUACACAUGUACUACUAAGUACAUGUUUCAAUUUAGAUCGUGUACGGAACUGUGAUUUUUUGGAGGAAAGAUGUUGGCAUUUUCUAUUUGAAUUGUUUGGGUAAUUCUCAAGUUUAAAAAUAGGUAAUUAGGUUAAUU